AUUGAACGCUGGCGGCAUGCCUUACACAUGCAAGUCGAACGGUAACAGGUUAAGCUGACGAGUGGCGAACGGGUGAGUAAUGUAUCGGAACGUGCCCAGUCGUGGGGGAUAACUGCUCGAAAGAGCAGCUAAUACCGCAUACGACCUGAGGGUGAAAGCGGGGGAUCGCAAGACCUCGCGCGAUUGGAGCGGCCGAUAUCAGAUUAGGUAGUUGGUGAGGUAAAGGCUCACCAAGCCGACGAUCUGUAGCUGGUCUGAGAGGACGACCAGCCACACUGGGACUGAGACACGGACCAGACUCCUACGGGAGGCAGCAGUGGGGAAUUUUGGACAAUGGGCGCAAGCCUGAUCCAGCCAUGCCGCGUGCGGGAAGAAGGCCUUCGGGUUGUAAACCGCUUUUGUCAGGGAAGAAAAGGUUCUGGCUAAUACCUGGGACUCAUGACGGUACCUGAAGAAUAAGCACCGGCUAACUACGUG
rnacentral:rRNA from 1 species